rnacentral:rRNA from 1 species
UACGUAGGGUGCGAGCGUUGUCCGGAAUUACUGGGCGUAAAGUGUGCGCAGGCGGCAGAGCAAGUCGAGUGUGAAAGCCCCGGGCUUAACUUGGGAAUUGCGCUCGAAACUACUUUGCUGGAGUGUGGCAGAGGAAGGUGGAAUUCCACGUGUAGCGGUGAAAUGCGUAGAGAUGUGGAGGAACACCAAUGGCGAAGGCAGCCUUCUGGGCCAACACUGACGCUCAUGCACGAAAGCGUGGGGAGCAAACAGG